AUACGGAGGGGGUUAGCGUUGUUCGGAAUUACUGGGCGUAAAGCGUACGUAGGCGGACUGGAAAGUUGGGGGUGAAAUCCCGGGGCUCAACCCCGGAACUGCCUCCAAAACUUCCAAUCUAGAGAUCGAGAGAGGUGAGUGGAAUUCCAAGUGUAGAGGUGAAAUUCGUAGAUAUUUGGAGGAACACCAGUGGCGAAGGCGGCUCACUGGCUCGAUACUGACGCUGAGGUACGAAAGCGUGGGGAGCAAACUGGAUUAGAUACCCUAGUAGUCC
rnacentral:rRNA from 1 species